CACCUACAGAACGUGGUGGCCUGCCAAGGGGUCGACACGAGGAGGCGCUCCAUGGCUUCGCAGAAGAACUCUGCAAGCAGAGAAAGCGCCAGCAGGAGGCCAACGACAGCCUGCGGCGAAUGUUAGAGAGGAUAACCCUGGCCCUGCCCGAACAGGCCUGUCCAUCUCCCGCAUCUCACCGACGGCCACCCGACCUAUUCUGUUUGACGCCUCCUGAGGGUUCGGGCCCGGGGCUUCCAAUACCUGGUUGACUGGGACGGCUACGGGCCAGAGGAGGGACAUCCUCGACUCGAGCCUCAUCGCUGACUUCCAUCAUCUGUGUCUCGGUCAGCCGGGUGUGCGGCUGACCGGGAUACUGUAGGGAGGGGGGUACUGUCACGCCUUGAUGACCGCCCGACAACGAACACUGCCUGUCCCCCACCGCAAGCCUGCCUGCUUCCCUUGUACCUUCGACCAUCUGACCGUCCCGAUAACGACCAUUGAUUAGAAUAAUACAUUUGUAUAUCUUCUAAUAAUACACAUAAUGAACAUUCUUUUAGUGAUGGCUGUAAAGCAUGAUAUGGUGUAGCAUUUCCUCUUAGUUAGAGAACUAAGGUUGCUAACUAAGAGUAUUAUUAGUACUACGGUUCCUAACUAAGAGUAUUAUUAGUACUGUUCCCAUCUUUGUAACAAGUGUAUCCCAACUUAAACUGUUGGGCUACCCCCCACCCCUCAGUUCAAUUAUUGUAUUUUAAUAGUUUGGAAAGGCAGAGUGAGAACAGAGUGAGAACAGCUGAUGUGGUAGUUGAUCUUUGGGGCAUUCCGAGAUGAGUGUUCAAAUACUUGUGUCCAAAAUACAGAAUGCAGAAACUACUUUUGAGUGGCUUACCAUUACACACAGUGUUGAUUUACACUCAGGCUGUCUGCAGGCUGCUGCUACAAAUUGUGAUAGUUUGGUAUGUAAUUACAGAGGUGUACAAGAAAAAAACACCAGCCUCUCCACCUCCUCUCGCUUUUGAGGCUUUCCAAAUUAAGAAAUUAUUUCAACAUGUAUGUCAGCAAGAAGCACUGUGAUACAUGACCAUGACACAGGCGUCAUGGAAACAGCACAAAGCAUGGUACAUGUACAGUGGGUACAGAAGGCUGUGUCUGUAUCUCUUGGCUGGCGGGUUUUGCCAACAUCAACAGGUUAACAUUUUUAUUGGCACCGUGGUUAGUAGGCGUGUCUACUGUCUUAAAACCUAGGUUUGAGACCCUUUAGGCAUGUUACACUGGCACCACUGGCAAACACCAUUGUAAUUAUGCACUAAAGGGCCCUAAAUCCACUGGACUACACUCAAUAAUUUGGGAAAUUUCGAUUUGCUCCAGAAAAACACUACAUUUUUUCAUUUUGUUUAGAUUUUUCAGUCAGACCUUGAAACCUGGAUACAAAUUCCCUUCUCAUGGUGUUUCGGUACCUCUUUCCAAGGCUGAAAUACUGAGGUCAUGAGUCACAAUUCUUGAAUUCUACAAAAUCUUUGCUUUAGAAUGAUUCAUUUUUUUCAUUUCAC
ensembl:lncRNA